CGAUCUGAGUACUAGGCUUAAGCCCAAUGUGGACAGGAUAAUCGUUAGUUGACUCGAUAGGCAAAUAGGGGGCAGUGUGUAGAGCACAUUAAUAGAUUCUAACUCGAUGGUCCAGCUGAGGAUAACUUAUAUUUCCUAGAAAGAUUUUCAAGUUUUCUCCGUAAACCUUUCCAGGAAAAGGUUUAAUCCAGCUUUUCUAUGUUCUUGGCCAUUAUAUUUAUUUUUAAAAGUAGUUAUAUAAAGUUGUACAAGACUGUGUGAAAUAGCUUAAGACAAAAACUUUGUCAUUAACGGUAGAAGGUAAUUGUUUCUAUUUCUAACUUUAUUAUGUUCAAUUAUAUACAUUUUUCAGCUCUCUAGUAUAUACUUCAUGAUUGGGUAUUAUGUGAAUCUACUGACAGCAAGCAAUAAUAUCGUACUGCAGUGGAAAAUACCCUUAAUGAGAAUCGAUUUAAAAACUUCAUUUUAAUCGAUAGGAGGCGGCUUUCCUUAACUAUUUUAACAAUAUAUAAAAGUUUGAAUAUUAUUAUGGACAUUGAAUUGCCGUAUGUAGUGGAAUAUGCCAAAAGUGGGAGAGCCUCUUGUAAAGGAUGCAAAUGUUCGAUUCCCAAAAAUAACCUUCGCAUCGCUGUUAUGGUUCAACUCUCUAGUAUAUACUUCAUGAUUGGGUAUUAUGUGAAUCUACUGACAGCAAGCAAUAAUAUCGUACUGCAGUGGAAAAUACCCUUAAUGAGAAUCGAUUUAAAAACUUCAUUUUAAUCGAUAGGAGGCGGCUUUCCUUAACUAUUUUAACAAUAUAUAAAAGUUUGAAUAUUAUUAUGGACAUUGAAUUGCCGUAUGUAGUGGAAUAUGCCAAAAGUGGGAGAGCCUCUUGUAAAGGAUGCAAAUGUUCGAUUCCCAAAAAUAACCUUCGCAUCGCUGUUAUGGUUCAACUCUCUAGUAUAUACUUCAUGAUUGGGUAUUAUGUGAAUCUACUGACAGCAAGCAAUAAUAUCGUACUGCAGUGGAAAAUACCCUUAAUGAGAAUCGAUUUAAAAACUUCAUUUUAAUCGAUAGGAGGCGGCUUUCCUUAACUAUUUUAACAAUAUAUAAAAGUUUGAAUAUUAUUAUGGACAUUGAAUUGCCGUAUGUAGUGGAAUAUGCCAAAAGUGGGAGAGCCUCUUGUAAAGGAUGCAAAUGUUCGAUUCCCAAAAAUAACCUUCGCAUCGCUGUUAUGGUUCAACUCUCUAGUAUAUACUUCAUGAUUGGGUAUUAUGUGAAUCUACUGACAGCAAGCAAUAAUAUCGUACUGCAGUGGAAAAUACCCUUAAUGAGAAUCGAUUUAAAAACUUCAUUUUAAUCGAUAGGAGGCGGCUUUCCUUAACUAUUUUAACAAUAUAUAAAAGUUUGAAUAUUAUUAUGGACAUUGAAUUGCCGUAUGUAGUGGAAUAUGCCAAAAGUGGGAGAGCCUCUUGUAAAGGAUGCAAAUGUUCGAUUCCCAAAAAUAACCUUCGCAUCGCUGUUAUGGUUCAACUCUCUAGUAUAUACUUCAUGAUUGGGUAUUAUGUGAAUCUACUGACAGCAAGCAAUAAUAUCGUACUGCAGUGGAAAAUACCCUUAAUGAGAAUCGAUUUAAAAACUUCAUUUUAAUCGAUAGGAGGCGGCUUUCCUUAACUAUUUUAACAAUAUAUAAAAGUUUGAAUAUUAUUAUGGACAUUGAAUUGCCGUAUGUAGUGGAAUAUGCCAAAAGUGGGAGAGCCUCUUGUAAAGGAUGCAAAUGUUCGAUUCCCAAAAAUAACCUUCGCAUCGCUGUUAUGGUUCAACUCUCUAGUAUAUACUUCAUGAUUGGGUAUUAUGUGAAUCUACUGACAGCAAGCAAUAAUAUCGUACUGCAGUGGAAAAUACCCUUAAUGAGAAUCGAUUUAAAAACUUCAUUUUAAUCGAUAGGAGGCGGCUUUCCUUAACUAUUUUAACAAUAUAUAAAAGUUUGAAUAUUAUUAUGGACAUUGAAUUGCCGUAUGUAGUGGAAUAUGCCAAAAGUGGGAGAGCCUCUUGUAAAGGAUGCAAAUGUUCGAUUCCCAAAAAUAACCUUCGCAUCGCUGUUAUGGUUCAAGUAAGUUUCUAUAGUGGCAGGCAUAUCUCAGCGUAAUCAAGUAAGAUUAAAAACAAACUCUACUGAAUUUACGCGGGCUUUUAGUUAAAAUUUGUUUGAUCUCCGUAUUGGCACAACCAUAUCUACACAAACAUGCAUACCCAUGAAAUAUACUUUUACAGUGGACAAAAAGUUUAAGUACACUUCAUACCUCAGUGCUUUUUGUAAAAAAUAUGUAUUGAGACUUAUCAAAAUAAUAAUAAUUAAUAAACGUAAUCUUUAGGAUUUCGAAUAUACCAAUAUAUAUACUACGUCACUCCUUCGUGAACAUUAUAUUCACAGAAAUAAAAAAAAAAUGGCUAAAAACCCCACCGAAAAAAGUUUACGUACACUCGUCAUCUCUCUGUUUCUUUGGAAUUUCCCUUCCAAAUCUAACGGUGUUCGUGAAUUCUUCCUUCAGUCUACUUCUGAUGCUUCCCUUUUUAUCCAUUUUAAGUUCAUUUAAUUUGAUUUUGCUGGAGUGAGAGGUCAAGAUGGGUCGAGGAA